rnacentral:rRNA from 1 species
GUGGAACCACCCGAUCCCAUCCCGAACUCGGAAGUGAAACGCAGCUGCGCCGAUGGUAGUGUGGCUCAAGCCAUGCGAGAGUAGGUCAUCGCCAGGG